rnacentral:rRNA from 1 species
UACGGAGGAUGCAAGCGUUAUCCGGAAUUAUUGGGUUUAAAGGGUGCGUAGGCGGCCAUUUAAGUCAGCGGUGAAAUUUUGCAGCUUAACUGUAACAGUGCCGUUGAUACUGUUUGGCUAGGAUUUGGUUGUAGUGUGCGGAAUGUGUGGUGUAGCGGUGAAAUGCUUAGAUAUCACACAGAACACCGAUUGCGAAGGCAGCACACUAAGUCAUUAUUGACGCUGAGGCACGAAAGUGUGGGGAUCAAACAGGAUUAGA